GAUGAACGCUGGCGGCGUGCCUAAUACAUGCAAGUCGAGCGAACAGACGAGGAGCUUGCUCCUCUGACGUUAGCGGCGGACGGGUGAGUAACACGUGGAUAACCUACCUAUAAGACUGGGAUAACUUCGGGAAACCGGAGCUAAUACCGGAUAAUAUAUUGAACCGCAUGGUUCAAUAGUGAAAGACGGUUUUGCUGUCACUUAUAGAUGGAUCCGCGCCGCAUUGGUUAGUUGGUACGGUAACGGCGUACCGAGGCAACGAUGCGUAGCCGACCUGAGAGGGGGAUGGGCCACGGUGGAGGUGAGACGCGGUCCAGGCUCCUACGGGAGGCAGCAGUAGGGAAGCGUGCGCAAUGGGCGAAAGCUUGACGGAGCAACGCCGCGUGAGUGAAGAAGGUCUGCGGAUCGUAAAACUCUGUUAUUAGGGAAGAACAAAUGUGUAAGUAACGAUGCACGUCUGGACGGUACCUAAUCAGAAAGCCACGGCUAACUACGU
rnacentral:rRNA from 1 species